rnacentral:rRNA from 1 species
UACAGAGGUCUCAAGCGUUGUUCGGAUUCAUUGGGCGUAAAGGGUGCGUAGGCGGCGCGGUAAGUCGGGUGUGAAAUCUUGGAGCUUAACUCCGAAACUGCAUUCGAUACUGCCGUGCUUGAGGACUGGAGAGGAGACUGGAAUUUACGGUGUAGCAGUGAAAUGCGUAGAGAUCAUGAGGAAGACCAGUGGCGAAGGCGGGUCUCUGGGCAACAACUGACGCUGAGGAGCGAAAGCGUGGGGAGCGAACAGG